CUACGGGAGGCAGCAGUGGGGAAUUUUGGACAAUGGGGGCAACCCUGAUCCAGCCAUGCCGCGUGCGGGAAGAAGGCCUUCGGGUUGUAAACCGCUUUUAGUCGGGAAGAAAAGGCCAGGCCCAAUACGUCUGGUUCUUGACGGUACCGGCGGAAUAAGCACCGGCUAACUACGUGCCAGCAGCCGCGGUAAUACGUAGGGUGCGAGCGUUAAUCGGAAUUACUGGGCGUAAAGCGUGCGCAGGCGGUUCGUUAAGUCUGAUGUGAAAGCCCCGGGCUCAACCUGGGAAUGGCAUUGGAAACUGGCGGGCUGGAGUGUGGCAGAGGGGGGUGGAAUUCCGCGUGUAGCAGUGAAAUGCGUAGAGAUGCGGAGGAACACCGAUGGCGAAGGCAGCCCCCUGGGCUGACACUGACGCUCAGGCACGAAAGCGUGGGGAGCAAACAGGAUUAGAUACCCGAGUAGUCC
rnacentral:rRNA from 1 species